UGGGGAAUAUUGCACAAUGGGCGCAAGCCUGAUGCAGCGACGCCGCGUGAGGGAUGACGGCCUUCGGGUUGUAAACCUCUUUCAGCAGGGACGAAGCGCAAGUGACGGUACCUGCAGAAGAAGCACCGGCCAACUACGUGCCAGCAGCCGCGGUAAUACGUAGGGUGCGAGCGUUGUCCGGAAUUAUUGGGCGUAAAGAGCUCGUAGGCGGUUUGUCGCGUCGUCUGUGAAAUUCUGCAGCUUAACUGCAGGCGUGCAGGCGAUACGGGCAGACUUGAGUACUACAGGGGAGACUGGAAUUCCUGGUGUAGCGGUGAAAUGCGCAGAUAUCAGGAGGAACACCGGUGGCGAAGGCGGGUCUCUGGGUAGUAACUGACGCUGAGGAGCGAAAGCGUGGGUAGCGAACAGGAUUAGAUACCCUGGUAGUCCACGCCGUAAACGGUGGGUACUAGGUGUGGGGUUCCAUUUCACGGGAUCCGUGCCGUAGCUAACGCAUUAAGUACCCCGCCUGGGGAGUACGGCCGCAAGG
rnacentral:rRNA from 1 species